UACGUAGGGUGCAAGCGUUAAUCGGAAUUACUGGGCGUAAAGCGUGCGCAGGCGGUUUUGUAAGUCUGUCGUGAAAGCCCCGGGCUCAACCUGGGAAUUGCGAUGGAGACUGCAAGGCUUGAAUCUGGCAGAGGGGGGUAGAAUUCCACGUGUAGCAGUGAAAUGUGUAGAGAUCCGGAGGAACACCAGUGGUGCAAACGGCGCCCUGGGUCCGAACUGACGCUGAAGCACGAAAGCGUGGGGAGCGAACGGG
rnacentral:rRNA from 1 species